AUGUCAAUAUCACAUUUACCUUUAAAUGUGUUAUCUUUAGGUAUUAUCUUCUCAUCUGCCAUUUGGAAGUCUGCAAACACAGGUAGAUGGGAACACCUUGGUAAUGAACUUUGUUCUUCCACUAUAACUUUCUCUCCGCAUCCACUUUCUGUUUGGGGGGAACUAGGUUGGUCAAUGAAGCCCUGGGCUGUUUGUGCUUCUAUUUUUGGGGAUGUUUUUAGCUGAGACUCUUGGAUGUUCUUUUUGAUUUAGUUUUUGUGCCCUCUGUGGUUUGCCGCCAUGCAAUUGGAUCUUUGGUUUUCCUUUUAAGACAGUUGCUUUAUAGGAGCCACUUUUACUGACGGGGGCUUGCUGUGGUGGCCUGUCCACCCGUGGUGAGGCAGGAGGUGGAAGUGGAGGAAAGUCUUCUUCCAAGGGCCCCUCAGGGAUGUCUGCUUUCCCUGUGGCCUGUUUAGGUUGAAUUUCUUCAAGCAUCUCCUCAGUUUUAUCUCUGUCAGCCUCCUCGUGGCUUAUGAUCUCUAUGGUCUUGUCAGGUUCAUGACCAUGUCUGCAUCUAUCAUCAGGAAAACAUGGACACAUGGCAUCAACAUGCCCCUGCAGUAGAGUCUGGGUCAUGUUAUGCUGAGUCAUUAACAUGACCUUGUCCAACUUUUGAUGCCCUGCGCUCCUGAAAAAAAAGAAGCAUGCAUUAUUUCAAAUUGCGAGUGCAUUGUGAAUGCAAGUUAUACUGUUGGGGAAAUAUUCACAGGCCAAAAUAGAUACUAGUUGAGAUGGAUGCAUUGAAAGCACAAAAAGUACCGAAUAGUUUCAUGUAAAAAGGUAAACAAGCCCUCCAUUAACCAAACAUGAACUUUCAGAGAAUUUUCUUUGCAUGUUACUGCUGUAAAUGGGGCAUAUUUUGUCUCCAAGUAUGAAUAUUUCAUGAUUGUCUUAUUGCUACCGUGUAAUGGGGUUCAAACGAACACCAGGAGGAGAUCUUCCCAUUGCUACAUGGUCUACCUAAAAUAGAUGGGGUAGGUGUUUCCAUCGACCACCGGGGACAGAUGGCAGAUCUAUUAGCAUGGGCUGCCAUGGCCAGAUUUUGCAUAAGGUAAAUUUACACAAUAGAGAAGCACUCUCCGUCUUUCUUUGUUGGUAAAACUAUGCCCAUCUUCAGUCCAAUUUAAGACUUACUUAAAGUGCCUUUACAACGAUGAUGCUGCUUUUUUUAAAGGUGCAAUCUAUGCAAUCUAACUUUGUUGUAAAUAAAUUAUUAAAUAAAUUAUGAGUUUAUUUGCAAAAACUCCCUUUUUUAUUAUUUUCAAAAAUCAUGUUUUAUUUAUGUUAUCAUGUUUUUAUUGUGUUAGUUAGCUGUAUUUUUUAGUUGUUUUUACUUAAUCAAAAUAACCCAACUGCAGUUUGAUUGAGAUUAAUUGGAAUGCACAAUGAAAAAAAUAUAUAUCUUUUUUUAAAAUUGUUAAAAAUGAAGUUAUCUGUUUUUGCAAAUAAACUCUUGAAAUGUAGUUAGUAAAUGUGAAUGUGUACAUUUAUAAUAAUCUAGAAAUACAGAAAUAUGUAUGUGUACAUAUCUAAAUAUGAAUCUGUCUAUAGUAUUAUUUUCAUUCCAUUUUAG
rnacentral:lncRNA from 1 species